GGUUGUAGCUCACUGGUAGAGCACAUGCCUAGCAUGUGUGAGGCUCUGGGUUCAAUCCUUAGCACCA
rnacentral:tRNA from 1 species